AACGAACGCUGGCGGCAUGCCUAACACAUGCAAGUCGAACGAGACCUUCGGGUAUAGUGGCGCACGGGUGCGUAACGCGUGGGAACCUGCCCUUAGGUUCGGAAUAACUCCCCGAAAGGGGUGCUAAUACCGGAUAAUGUCUUCGGACCAAAGAUUUAUCGCCUUUGGAUGGGCCCGCGUUGGAUUAGCUAGUUGGUAGGGUAAAAGCCUACCAAGGCGACGAUCCAUAGCUGGUCUGAGAGGAUGAUCAGCCACACUGGGACUGAGACACGGCCCAGACUCCUACGGGAGGCAGCAGUGGGGAAUAUUGGACAAUGGGCGAAAGCCUGAUCCAGCAAUGCCGCGUGAGUGAUGAAGGCCUUAGGGUUGUAAAGCUCUUUUACCCGGGAUGAUAAUGACAGUACCGGGAGAAUAAGCUCCGGCUAACUCCAUG
rnacentral:rRNA from 1 species